GGUAUAGGUUUUCGGACCUAGAGACCGGCGCACGGGUGCGUAACGCGUAUGCAAUCUACCUUUUACAGAGGGAUAGCCCAGAGAAAUUUGGAUUAAUACCUCAUAGUAUAGCAACUUCGCAUGAAGUCACUAUUAAAGUCACAACGGUAAAAGAUGAGCAUGCGUCCCAUUAGCUAGUUGGUAAGGUAACGGCUUACCAAGGCAACGAUGGGUAGGGGUCCUGAGAGGGAGAUCCCCCACACUGGUACUGAGACACGGACCAGACUCCUACGGGAGGCAGCAGUGAGGAAUAUUGGUCAAUGGGCGCAAGCCUGAACCAGCCAUGCCGCGUGCAGGAUGAAGCAUCUAUGGUGCGUAAACUGCUUUUGUACGAGAAGAAACACUACUUCGUGAAGUAGCUUGACGGUAUCGUAAGAAUAAGGACCGGCUAACUCCGUGCCAGCAGCCGCGGUAAUACGGAGGGUCCAAGCGUUAUCCGGAAUCAUUGGGUUUAAAGGGUCCGUAGGCGGUUUUGUAAGUCAGUGGUGAAAGCCCAUCGCUCAACGGUGGAACGGCCAUUGAUACUGCAAGACUUGAAUUAUUAGGAAGUAACUAGAAUAUGUAGUGUAGCGGUGAAAUGCUUAGAUAUUACAUGGAAUACCAAUUGCGAAGGCAGGUUACUACUAAUUGAUUGACGCUGAUGGACGAAAGCGUGGGGAGCGAACAGGAUUAGAUACCCUGGUAGUCCACGCCGUAAACGAUGGAUACUAGCUGUUCGGGAGCAUCUGAGUGGGCUAGCGAAAG
rnacentral:rRNA from 1 species